AUUGAGACACUGGUUCCCAUAUGAUCACCAAAGUUAAGCAACAUUGAGCCUGGUCAGUACCUAGAUGGGUGACCACUUGAAAAUACCAGAUGCUGUAAG